CGCAACUUGCGCUCCUUGGUAUUCCUUGGAGCAUGCCUGUUUGAGUAUCAUGAAAUUCUCAACUCCCCAGGGCUUCGCCAUGGUGGAAUUGGACUUGGAGGUUGCUGGUAAUCAGCUCCUCUUAAAUGUAUUAGCUGGAACCUUAUGUGCAUCUCCGGUGUGAUAAUAUCUACUCCAGUGAUCACAAAGUUGGAUUCGCUUCUAAUCGUCCUGUAAUGGACAAUAUCAUGACAUCUGGUCUCAAAUCAGGUAGGACUACCCGCUGAACUUAA
rnacentral:misc_RNA from 1 species